rnacentral:sRNA from 1 species
GAUUGAAAACAGUGUGAAAUGAUCAAGAAGAAAGAAUCCAACGGCUGCGUUUUAGACAUCUGAACUCCUCUUCUCUAAGGAAGUCCAAAGGGAAACAGCACGACAUUGUCGCAGUCGCAAGCACACUCUCUUCAGCUGUCACAGUUGACAAAAAUUUUUUACAAUUAAAAAUGGGAAAAACAGAAGUAAAAGGGACGAUGACGUCGUCCUCCUCCUCGAUUUCACGACGAAAGAGGUGCAGAAGGCGGCGAAGCGGGUGGAGGAGACGCUUUUAGAGUAGCAAAAAUGAAAUGAAUCAAUUGAGAGAAAUCGUCGUCGAUAAGUCCUUUUUCUUUUUGGCGGGGAAAGCGGCGUUUUUAUUGGUAUCCUACAUUUAAGCUAAAAUUAGGAGCUUAAUUUUUUAGUUAAAAAAGUUGGGCAUUUUCGUUUCAGUAUAUAAACUCAUUGCGGGUUCUACUGGGAGAAAAUCACUAUACGGAAAGAACAGCUAAACGAGCUGUUGAAAUUCUAAAGAGAAGAGGGAAGUCAUUGGAGUCUAAAGUAGAUUCAUUGAAGGCCGUCAUGGAGGAUCUUAGAGCUGAGGCUUGCUUUUUUGAUUCCACCGCUUCCGAAGUAGCUGUAAGAUUUAAGCAUUGGAGCCUAAAGUGGAUUAUCUUUCGUAGCUAGUCUUCACCUAUUACUAUUAUUUUAUUGUUACAGGAGGGUCUUGUAGAGGAUGAUUGUUCUACCGAAAGAGUAACUCAAUCAGGCAGGGUGUUGCCUGAGUAGCAUGGUACGGAAACUUUGGACCUUAUUCGAUUUACCAAAGAUGAAAAUGGCUCAAAGUGAUGGUGAUGAAGAGGAGCAAACUAAAGCUGUUUUUGACAGAAAACAGGAUGAAGGUUAAAGUUCUUAUGAUCAUGAGCAAAGAUAUUCAGAGGUAAAAUGUCACAUAGUCAAAGUAUGCCCGAAGAUGCAAAGAUGUUAAAUCCUUCCAUUAAUGCUUUUGUGCCUUCUGAAAAGAAGGUGAAGUUUGAAGUAGAGCAUUCAUAAAAAAAAGAGAUAUCCAUAGCUUGUAUGUAAACUCGAUAAUAUUCUCAUGGCACCAUCUCUUCUAAACUUUCUCCCCCUGAAUUGCAUUUUGCCUCUAUAUCGUCAUCCUUGGUCUUGAUUGCUGCUAGGCAUUCCUUCUUUUGAAUAUCCAAAAUUUCCAGAUAUUUUGCACAAACACUGCGAUUAUAAAGUGUUCACUAUGUGUACUAAAAUCGGCUUCUGAAUCUUGGAAGUGGUGGUCUUUGGGAGAAAGAGAGAACAAAAGCAACAUAGUAUCAAUAUUUUAUUUUGAACAGUUUACAUGUCAUUGAUGAUUUCAGUUUGGAUUUCAUCAGCUAUUAAGUUUAUUAAGAAAUGCAAGAUCCUCAUGGAAGGGCUGUUAAAUACCUUUUUGACUUCAAUUUUCUGUUACAUAAAUCUGUCCAGACCUCAAAACAAGGAUUCGAUGGUUCCAAGGCUGUUAUAGGCUCCAUGGUAGAGCAUACUCACAAUUUGGAGAAAAUUUAUCAGGACAAACUAUAACUUCAUCACUGCUUUAUAGUUCUCAACCUUCAAAGCCAGUGUCCAGAUUCAAAAUGCAAAGAAAGUAGUUUCAUGUGGUUAAGAAACAUGGAAAUGUAUGAAAUGUAACCUCUGAGCAGCAGCUAAGGCACUUGUAUGAGAAUAGAAUGUCAAAUCCUAGUUUUUUCACUCAUGAAUAUGACAAGGCAUUAUGUCACAGACUCACGGUAUAAUAUACUCAUUCCAUAACUAAUUCCAAAUCCAAGUUGUGGGAUGAAAGUUUUGUUUA